GAUGAACGCUGGCGGCGUGCCUAAUACAUGCAAGUCGAGCGGAGCGGGGACGGGUGAGUAACACGUGGAUAACCUCCUAUAAGACUGGGAUAAUUUUGGGAAACCUGACCUAAACCCGAUACUUCUCGAUGGAUCUUCGCUGCAUUAGCUAGUUGGUAAGGUAACGGCUUACCAAGGCAACGAUGCCUAGCCGUCCUGAGAGGGUGAUCGGCCACACUGGAACUGAGACACGGCCCAGACUCCGACGGGAGGCAGCAGUAGGGAAUAUUCCGCAAUGGGCGAAAGCCUGACGGAGCAACGCCGCGUGAGUGAUGAAGGUCUUCGGAUCGUAAAACUCUGUUAUUAGGGAAGCGGUACCUAAGCAGAAAGCCACGGCUAACUACGUGCCAGCAGCCGCGGUAAUAC
rnacentral:rRNA from 1 species